CCCUUAAAUACUAGUGUACCUGGACCAUAGAGUCCACAUAAAUCCAUCACCGUACAGAGACCAGUGAAGCCAAACAAUGCCUGAUUACAUAGGAAAUGAAUACCAGACAUAUAACAAGAAUAUCUUACACAUAUGAACUUCAUUCAUUCAACAACUCUUUAAGAGACAAUGGAGGCAAGAACCUGUGGUGGCAGAGGCUGCUCAUUUCAUAGCAGCCAAGAAGGAAAGAGAAGAGUGUGGUGAUGCGUGCCUGUAAUCCCAACACUUAGGAGAUGGAUGCAGGAAGAUCAGGAGUUCAAGGACAUCCUCAACUACAUAGACAAUUUGAGGCCAUCCUGAGCUACAAGAGACUUUAAUAUAAUAAAUAGGAGGGAGCAAGGGAUGUAAGAGAGGAAGGAGAGAAGAAAGAAAGAGAAACAAAGAAAGAAAGAGACAGAGAAAGAAAGAAGGAGCAGAGGCUGGGGACAAAAAAUAUCUUUCAAAGGCAUCUCCCCAGUGGCCUGCUUCCACCAAUCAGACCCUACUUUCCAAUAGUCUGUUAAGCUAUGAACUCAUCAGUGAAUUCAUCAGUUGAAGAGAUUAGUAUCCCCAUCAUCAAAUUAUCCCUGGACACUGUAGAAGGACAAAGCCUUCGGGCCUAUGAGCUGUUGAGGACCCUUCAUAUUCAAACCAUAACAGCAGAACCAGUGUCUUCAGGAUUCCAUCAUUGACUGAGGACCACCAGCUCUCAAGGAACCCUAUGGGUUUCCAGCACCAGCAUGGGAUUGAUGAGGCACCCAGCACCAUGGACUGAGCAACUACCAAGUUGUCAGCCUCUCCAUCGAGACAGCCACUGUGAAACUAUUCCGACUUCUGAGGCAUCCAGCCUUAAGAACUGAGCACCUACCAGUCUCUCAGCUACUGCUCCUAAUAUUUUAGUAUAAGCUGAUUUAAUAAAUUGUAUACACAUUCAUCCUAUUGGUUGUUCUUGCAGUGAACAGGUGGGGAAAAUUGGGACACAGAAUCAAGAGGGAGUCAUGUAAAUAAAAGCAUAAUGACAGUGAAGAAUGAUCCUGAUGCCCUCAUAGGCAGGUGACCAAAGGUUACUGAGGGUUAACUCUAGGAAGGGAGAGAGCAGUGAUGGCCAAUAAGCUUGGAUUACAGGGGAAUGCC